AAGAGAGUGAAGUGAGGAGUUUCCUACAGUGUCUGCCUUAUAUCUCACAGCUCAGGUUUGAUCCUCAGAGCUCAGAUCUUCCUGAACAAACCAGGUUCUUAGUGAAUCUGUUCUGUGCAGCAGCAGAGAGAGAACAGCAGACAGGAGAGAAGAUGCUGCAGCUGUUAGCAUCUGUCUGCAGAUAUCAAACAUUCCUUUUAGAUUCUAGUAGAAAAUAUCGCCUUGACUUCCUGCUGGAUCUGUUCUCCCAGAUGAAGGACCGUGAGACUAAAACAGGUCUGAGUCUCCUUCCAUCAUUACAGUCAGUUUUCCAGUCAGUUCCUUCAGUCUGGACCAUAAACCUCUCAGAGAGAAAGACCUCCAUCCUCCUGGAAGUGCUGAAACUUCAACCAGAGAAGAAACCAGUGAAGCUGACAGGCUGCUCACAGGAAGAGAGUGAAGUGAGGAGUUUCCUCCAGUUUCUGCCUUAUAUCUCAGAGCUCAGGUUUGAUCCUCAGAGAUCAGAUCUUCCUAAACAAACCAGGCUCUUAGUGAAUCUGUUCUGUGCAGCAACAGAGAGAGAAC